rnacentral:lncRNA from 1 species
GCUUCAAGCUAUAAAAUGUAAAGGAGUUAUUUUCUUUUAAGACAUUUUCUUAUGUAUGAGGGUUCCCCCCUAAUUGUCUUUGUAUUUUAAUAUUUCCAUUUCUUCCUAGUUUUUUCUGGCCCUUUUUUGUUAUCUAAUAAAAAUAUGGUUAUGAAGUUAAAUUGAAUGACAUCAAUUAUAAUGUAGUCACAUUUUUAAAUUCAAGUUUUCACAUUAAAUACACAUUCAAGUAGCAUGGGUCACAUUAAGGAUAAUUUAGUUUUAAAUUUUAUUUUAUUUUAUUAUGUGAAUGGGUGUUUUUCCUGCUUGUAUGUGUAUGCAUUGUGUGUAUGUUUGGUACCUGUGGAGGCCAGAGGAGGGUGCCAGAUCCCUGGAACUAGAGUUACAGUGCGGGUCUGGGAAUCAAAUCCUAGAUCCCCUAGAAGAGCAACCAGUGCUCUCAGUGACUGAGUCAUCUUUCCAGCUCAUAUGUGUGUGUGUACAUAUGUGUGUAUAUGUAUGUACGUGUGUGUUUGUGAUCUUCUAUGUUUUAUGUGGUAGAACUUGUUUAAUCUUUGUAAUAACUAUGAGAACUGUUAUCCCCCUUUCUCGAUAAAUUGUCUCAGAUGCUUAGUAGAUUGCUAAGUUCUCAUACUGAGUCUGAACUGCAGCUACUGUAGGAAUUUCAUCUGUGGAUUGAAGUUACAGAUUUUGAGCACAUACUGUGUGCCAGGCAUGCUGUAUGCCAGGCAAACAACAGCGGUCAAAACUAACAUGGGUGUUACCAUUAAAGACCUUAAAAUUAUUAAAUGUUCAACAGAGUUUUUUGGAUGCCCGAUGCCUUGAUGUCGGUAAAAAGAAAACCCCAGGGAAAUGGUCAGUAAAGUGCUUGCUGUGUAGUCCUAAGGAUCCUAAUGAUACCUGCAGCACUCACAGGACAAGGUGGGUGUAGUAACCUGCGAUCAUAAUCUCAGCUCGGGGGAGACUGAGACAGGGAAGUUCAUGGGCAUUGCUGGCCAGCUAGCCUAGCCACAUUUAUUAGGUCUGGGCCAAAUGAGAGACCUUUGUCUUAAAAACCAAAGUGGAUCACCCGAGGGAUGUCUGAGAUUGACCUAUGGCCUCUACAUACAUGCAUGUAUAAUCACAAGAGAGGGAGAUAGAUAGACAGAGAAGAUGUGCUUCAGUCACUAUCUCCUGGGUAGGCCAAGGAACUGAAAGUUCUUCAAAGAGAAAGAUAGAAUCAUAUUUACCUUAGACACAUUAAUAUAUUAAUAUUUUUGGAUAUAUGUCUUUUAUCCAAGGGGAAAACAAGACUUUCAUGCUUUGCUCCUUCAACAGUUGAAUUAUGACUUUCUCCCUGACCGUUGAAGUAUGAAAUCAGGGAGGGAGAUGGUUCUGGGGAAGUCGCUCAACAUGCAAGCAUGAAGAGCUGGGUUCUUAUCCUCUAAUCUCAUGUAGAAACUGGACGUGGUGGUGUGCUCUGGUAACCUCAGUGCUGGGAGAUGAAGACAGGGGGAUCCUGGGAGCUCGCUGGCCAGCCAUUUCAGCCAAAACAGUGAGCUUUAGGUUUGCUGAGACCUACCUCAAAAGUGAGGCAGUAUGACUGAGGCAAGGGACCGGAGAGUCAACCUCUAGCUUCCCAUAGGCAUCUGGGUGGCUCUCACCCAUGUACACUCAUGUACACACAUGCAUAUACUACAUAUACACACGAAAUAAAAAUGUAAAAAUUAGUAAAUAACAAUGAGAAGAAAAUAAGAUAAAACUGGCUUCUAGGUAAGAGUUAGGAGGAGUAAGUGGAAUCAAGCUACACCAGAAUAUCUAGACUUUGUGCUGAUUAAAUGACAAUAUUCAAAGCAAGGUGGUGGUAGUUGAAAUAAGCAAGAUUGAAUUUUGUAUUCUAAAAUCAUAAAAAUGUUUAGAUUGUUUCUCUAGUGCCAUUUAAUAAGUCUUCUGGCAUCCAGCCAUCCUAGGAGUACCCCACAUUGGCACGGACCUUUUUCUUUAAUUUUUUGGACAUUUGGCUUUUUUUUUUUUUUCUAUUGACUUCAUGAGUAAGUUCCAACUUAUUUUCUCAUUGCUGCCAGGAUUUCUUGAUAUUGAAGGAAACAUGGCUGAAGAGAAAAUGUGGACCAAUCAUUUACGUUGAUGGAUUUUGACCAUGCUUUAGGUCUCCUGAAAUUAUGCGAAGUGUUAAGUAUAUUCUUAGGAGUGUAUUUUGGGAAGAGAAUCCAUAGCCUUCAUAAACUUCUCUAUGGCUUUCAUGGACAAAUAAGGACAAAAGUCGUGGGGUUCUGCAUGGCCUUGGGGUUUGGAGGUACAUUUUUGGGGACCCUUUAGUUUUAGGAUGUUCUAUUUGGAAGUAAGGACUAUCUGAAGUCAGGAAAAUGGUUAUUUUUUCCGGAAACAAAACAGGAAGGGAACACUAGACAAAGGAGAAAUAGACACCUGGAACAUUAAAUCCCAAAUCUCUGAUUUUUAUCACAUUAAAACAGUGGGUCAAGGCACCCGAUGCCAAGCCCGGCUGCCUGAAUUCAUUCUCUGGGACUGGGUAGUGAAAGGAGAGAACCAGCUGCCACAAGCCGUGCUCUGAUCUCCAGGAUGAUCAAGUAGUUAACUUGUUAAACUUUGUCAGCUUGUUUGUUUAAGUUCUUUAUUUUGAUAGAAUAUUUUUGAUCAGUGAUCUGUUUUGGGAGGAUAGCCUGAUUUGGGAGUUGGAAACUAGCGUGGAUAAUGUGGCAAGACAUGGUCCUAGACAAACAAACAAACAAACCCAGUGUCACACGGAGUAAUCAUCAAUCAGAAGAAGGGAUAAGAACUUUAAAUACCUUAAAUAACUCUAAAUUGUGCAACAUCAGGAACUUUACUGCUUUCUAAGCAAUUACUGUUGCUGUCAUUGUCAUUAUUUAUCAUCAUCAUCAUCACCACCACCACCACCACCACCAUCAUAGAUAACAUCCACAUUGUAUAUUCCCAUGACUGGAUAUAUGAUGUCAAUCAUACAUAAUAAAAACUGCCCACAGAUGUAAAGGAAGGGAAAACUCAAUCAGACGAACCUUUUGUUUAUGACAGGGAUUUGGAUACAGUUUCUUUUUUUAUUAUUCUAAUUUUUAAAUAUUUAUUUGAUGUGUAUGAGUGUUUUGCCUGCAUGUCUAUUUGUGUGCCAUGUUAGUGCAUUGCCCACAGUGGCCAGAAGGGGCAUCAGACUCCUCCCACUGGAGUUAAAGAUGCUUGUGAGCUGCUAUCUGGGCUCUGGGACUCAAACUUGCAAUCCUUUGUCUUCCUAACCACUGAGCUGUCUCUCCAGCCCCUUGAAAAGGGUUUCAUACCAGAUAUGUCACUUUUAUUCAUGGAUGAAUGGCAAUAUAAAUGUCUCUUUUGUUGUGAUAAAACUCUUAACAAUGAAGCUGCACAAGGACAGGGACAAUCUCUGUUCUGUGACCAUAUGUCCUCGGUUCCCAUUCUAGUGUGUGACUAAGGAAAACAUUUCAUUAAGUCUUUAUUUUCCUCAGUGUUUUUCUUUGGCUUCCUUUUAGCUUUUAAAAAAAUAGUUGUUUUUACGUUCUACAGAUUUGCUGAAAGUCAAAUCAGUGAUUUAGCCACUAGAAAUGACGGUUAAAAUGGGGCCUUUUUUGGAAUGAUGUUGUUUUGUUUGAAGCAAAUGACUCAGGAGACAAGAUUUAAUUCAACGUAGGACUAUUUAGACUUGUGGUGUUUAUGUUAGUCUGUUCUCUGUUGCUAUAACAGAACACCUGAGAUGGAGUGAUUUAUAAAGGAAAUUUAGUUUUCCUUUGAUUUUGGAGGCUGGGAUGUGCAAAUGCAUGGUGCCUGUAUUGUUUUGACUUUUGGUGACGGCCUUAGGGAGCUUUAGCUAUCAUGGUGGGAAGCAGAAAGACAACUGGGUUUGUGUAAAGAGAAAAUAAAGGGGCUCAGCUUCUGUAGUGGCUAACCUAUUCCCACAAAAUACAUCAAUCUGUUCACUAGAGCAUGGCUGACAUGGUCUAGAACUUACCAUGCUCUGCUUUCUAACAGUUACACAUUUAGAGGGAAAAGCCUCAACAUAAAUUCAUACACUUCAAAUUAUUGUAGGUAUGUGUGUGUGUGUGUGUGGGGGGGGAGGUAUUGAAAAAUAUGUAAUCUUACAGACAAAGGUUCUCCCCUCCUCUCUUCUCUCUUCCUCCCUCCCUUGUCCUUUCCUCUCUCUUCCCCUCCCCUGUCUUUUCCUCUUUCUCUUCCCCUCCCAUGUCCUUUCCUCUUCCUUCUCCUCCCCCUACCCUCUCUUUCUCUCUCUGGGUAUUGAAACUCAAGCCUUAUGUGCUUGAGGUAACUAAUCUGUCAAAGAGCAAUACCCCAACUCAGCUAUGUUUUCAGUAAGGUAUUCAUUUAACUCACCCCACCCACACUGUCACACCCUCCAAGCCUCAUGAAAUUUCAGUGUUUUCUAUGCUGGCCUAGAACCCAUGGGCUCAAAUGGUUUUUUUCACAUUAGCUUCCCAAUAAGCCGGGGUUACAGGUUUGUACUACUGCCCCUGGAGAAGAGUGCUUCUCAAGUAGUUUAUUGAGUCUGGUACAGCAAUGUGGGUCUGUAGUUCCUGGCACUUGGGAGUCUAUUACAAGAAGGUUGUAUGAGGCCAGGGUCUCAGGACCAGUCUGGGCAAUAUAGUGCGAUCCACCUGAAGGUAAAUAAGUAAACAAACACCUAAGUAUAAAAAAAAGGUUUAUUUUUAUUUCAUAUGUGUAUUUUGCAUGUAUGUGCGUAUGUGUACUAUGUGCAUGCCUUCUAAGGCCAGAAGAGGCUAUUGUUUCCUCUGGAACUGGAAUUAUAGUUGCUUGUGAGCUGUCAUGUGGAUGCUGGGAACUGAACCUGGGUCCUCUGCAAAAGUGGCAAGUGCUCUUAACCAGUGAGAUCUUUCCAGCUUCAAAUAAACACCCUUGAAUCUCACAUCUUAGAAGAGAAGUCUGUGUGGCCCACUUGGAUAUUUACAACUAGAGAAAUCAGCCUGCCAUGGCAGAAUGUGAGUAGAGAUGGUUCUGUUUUAAAAUGUACAUUCAGAUGGCCUGGUUUGAAGAAUACCCAAAGACUGACUGGGGACUUGGGGCAUUUUGAACUUCUCUGGUCAUAGAAUCGCUCUCUCCACAUUUUUUUUUUUUACAAAUAUACAGUGAGCUCUGGACAUGUGGAUGAACCAAAUGGUAUCUUUCUCUAGCAUAUGGAAUCAGAGCCUGGAGAUACAGACUACACAACACUUUUAGUAUUUUUGUUUUGAUAGCAAAGUUUUUUACUGUUUAUGCAGUUGGAAUCAUGUGACUUAUAAUCUACUGAAAUGUAAUACCAUUCAUUCUGGAAUCGGGCAAGGGUUGUAAUAACAGUGCCAUCAUCUGCUUAUCAGAGUCUUGGGGCUUUUCUUUUUCCUAUGGUAGAUAGGUUGGUAUUGUUGAAUAUUAAGUGGUUUACUUAUCAAAAUAAGAGAAUUACUUUUAGCUUUUGAUAUAGUAUCCAUUUUCCACUAAGGAUUAUACCCUCUGGUUUGAAGGCUUAGAUACGGAGGAGUAACAAUACAGAUAGAAAUGGAAAAUUAGAGUCAGUUUGCUCGUGACCCUGCAACCCAGCAGUCAGCUGAGUAAGGCAGAAAGAGUCCUUCUUUACUAUGGGGAUAUUUUGGGCUUAUCUGGAUUUAGAACAUAUUUUAGCAGUGCUCGUGGUAACUUCUGUAAAUAACAGUUGACGCUAUGCUAUGGAUACUCCUGUUUGUGAGGUGAUCUCAUGUGGUUUCUGAGUUGUUUAUAGUUUACCCUGAAGGUUCCUCAUGUGUUCAUAGCUUACUGCUCAUUUGCAAAAUAGCGACACUUUCCUCUUGUCUUAUUAAACUAAUGGAGCUAUUUUCUAGCAUAUGGAAACAUUUUUUGUACCUCAUGUUCUUUUAACCAAUGACCCCAUGUGACUUGCAAAUGUUGUAAAGGCAGUAGCUAUUUCCAAAUGCUUUGUGAGUGAUUAAACUAAUAUAUCCUUAGGUACCAAAAAAGACUUCAUGGAGACAAAGACGGCCAGAAUGAAAUAUAGCCGUGCUUUCAAAGAAGCCCAGUUCUUUCCAUGUUAAUUCC